GACGUAGGGCGCGAGCGUUGUCCGGAUUUAUUGGGCGUAAAGAGCUCGUAGGCGGCUUGUUGCGUCGACUGUGAAAACCCGCGGCUUAACCGCGGGCUUGCAGUUGAUACGGGCAGGCUAGAGUUCGGUAGGGGAGACUGGAAUUCCUGGUGUAGCGGUGAAAUGCGCAGAUAUCAGGAGGAACACCGGUGGCGAAGGCGGGUCUCUGGGCCGAUACUGACGCUGAGGAGCGAAAGCGUGGGGAGCGAACAGG
rnacentral:rRNA from 1 species